GUACUUUAAGUUUGAAUUAGAAGAGAGUAGUGAAGUAUCAUUAGUGUUGUGAUACAUCACGUAGGGUGUUAAUAAUGCACCACUACUCCUCCAAUUUAAACUUAAAAAUGGAAUAUUUAUGUAUAAAAUACAUGAGUCAUGAGUUAUGUAUGAUAAUGCACAAUAAUAUGUAUCGUAGCAAACUUUAUUUUACGUUUAAUCAUAUACUAUCAGACGUAAUAUGUUAGGUAUUUUAAUAAAAAUUAAAAAUUCGUAAUAUCAAGUUUAAAAAUAUAUUUGUUACAUCAUAAGAGCUUUGUUCAAAAUAAUUUCAUUACAUCAAGGAGACCAAAAUACAUUAAAUUUUUUGAUAUAUCAUACGAGAUUUUCAAGGGAAUGACUCUUUUCAUUCAUUAUAUAAAGAUUUCCUUGAGAUAUCUAUGUAUGUACUGGGUCCAUUUUCCCUACCAGGAAAUUAGAUAUAUAAUUGGGGCCCACUUACUGCUUACAUUUUUUAUAAGUAAACAAUAUCAUUCAAUUGUGGCAGAUUGUUUGUAUGUAAUAUCAAUGGACAAUGUUUAUAAAUAAGGCUCAGAAGUUUAUGCACUAAAAAUUACCAAAAUAUGUAUACACUUAACUGCUUAAAUAUGCCCUUAUUUUUUUUAAAAUUUAAAAAUAUAAAAUAUUAGGAAAAAAAUAUUAUUACUUAUUAGUUAUGAUACUAUUCACAAUUUUAAUUUCAAUUUCUUUAACUGGUAAUUAAAAAAUUAUUUUAUUAAUAUACAUUUUUAAACAUUACAAUUCAAAAUCAACGAUUUUGAUAAAUUCUCAAAUUUAAACUACCGCCUGUUAUCUGCUAACAUAUUUUUGUAUAAUGAAAAGCUCGCUCCAUGUCAACCAAAAUAAUUGGUGCUUUUUUAAAAUAUAGUAAAUUAUCACAAGAAAAAUCUUCAGGUAAAUUAUCCAUUGUCAAUUCUUUUAUUUGAAUUAUUCUAAUUCCAUUAUUUUGUAAAGGUUAGCCGAUAUUGUUUUUGUGUUGACACAAUUUUCCUUAUGUGUUGGUUGCAUGGCUCCUAAUUUUAUUAUUAGGGACCAACUUUUUCUACUUUGGUGGGUAAAGCCUAGAUCAUCCAUAGUUGUUUGCAUAUUUAUUUCCUUAGUUCGUCAAAUAGACCUCUAAUAGUCCAUUGAUUGUUACUUCGCUACCGUCUUACUCAUAUUCUAUAAGCAGUUUCUCACAUUUUUCAGUUAAGUAGGAAAUGUAAUUUUUCCCAUGCACUCUAGGAAGAUUUAUCUGCAGCCAACUUUAGCAGAUUCACAAAUAUUUGGUAGUUUUCAGAAAUCAGUUCAAUUUGGUUUAUAUUCUCUUCCACUUAUGUUGAAAAAACAUCAGAGUCUGUUAUCUUCGAAACAAUUCAACGCGUGCUGUCGCCUUUAAGAAUACUUUUUUCAUGUUCGAAAUAAGUUAAUCAAUUUUUGGGAAUUUUCUCCCAUACACGAUGAAAACCAUGGGCGAGGCAGGUUAUAUAAACCAUUUUAUAAAACAAUGCUUGAAUGGAUUUUGCAGCCCAUGUUUUUCCCAGUGUAGAUACAGAUGGUAUAUCUUUAUUUACGUAUUUUUCAAAGAAUAAACGAAGAUGAAGAUUUCCUAAUUUUUCUUAUGGAAAAUUUGAUUUUAAGAAUGCUUCACUUAAAUACUUGGAAAAAUCAGAUUAUCGUGUUGGUGUAGUAGUAAUUAUCGGUCGAGUUGUAUUUUUACCUUGACGAUUAGAGGCUCUAAUAUGUUUUUCAGUACUUGCGUGCUGAAUGACCCUGAAACGUGUUUUGCACUUUACCUUUACUUCGCAUAUCUUACAAAAUAAUACACUCCCGUCGAACGCGAAAAUAUGUUCACCGAAUUCAGUAACGUAAUUUUUACCUCUAUAAGAAUCUGAUGUUUUUACUUUCAGCAUUUUAACACAAUUUAAUCAAAAAAAACUGGCACUCGACGUUACUACACGGAACACGUUAAACAAUAUUAACGAGAAAUCCAGAAGUGACAUUCUAUAAUUUUACAAGAAGACAGAAUCGUUAUCGUAAUGGGAAAUAUCAGAACUUUUCUAAAAAUAAACAUAUUGUCUUAUUAGCCGUUAUCGGGCCGCCGUGCGCCGCACCAUUAUUUUAUUUAUUAAUAUAUUAAUAAACAAAAGAAUCGUUAUCGUAAUGGAAAAUAUCAAAAAUUUAUUAAUAGGUCAUUUAAAAGUAAUUUAUUUUGUUAAUUAUAUAAUAUUUGACUCGCAGUUAAUAACAAAAAAAUUUGUAAAAUAUGCGAAUAAAUAUAAAAAAAUCCGAAAUAUGCAAUUAUAUGCAAAAUAAAAUGUUGUAUUUGGAUUUGUAUAAGUAUAUUCAAACUUGUAGCUGAUCUAGAAAUUUUUCAGUCCAUUCAGUAAAAACAUGUAAAUGCAUGAACUUCCAAGCCCUAUUUAUAAAUAUUAAAUACAACCGGUACAAAUGACAGAUAUUGUGCAUAUUAUCUAGCCGACGACGAGCGUCAUUAUUUUUGUGAAUUUUAAGUACAUAUAAAUCCGUUCUCUAGUAAUCAUGAACAAAUGAAUAUGAUACAAAUUAUAAAAACUCU